AGGGAAAGUUGAAAAGAACUUUGAAGAGAGAGUUCAAGAGUACGUGAAACCGUUCAGGGGUAAACCUGAGAAACCCAAAAGAUCGAAUGGGGAGAUUCAUCGUCAGCUCAUUUUGUAUAUGUACGAGUUAUGAUGCGAGUUACUCUUGAGUAUUGCUUGUACGUACUUGUACAUUUAUUUGCAAGAUGUUGUCGGCGUGCACUUCUCCCCUAGUAGGACGUCGCGACCCGUUGGGUGUCGGUCUACGACCCGAGUGGGAGCCUUUAAUAUUUUAUUAUAUUAAAGACCCUUGGUGUUUCUGACCGGCUGCCCGGCGGUACUCGUAUGGUAUUUAGCCGCAUUUAUUUGCGUCCAUGUCUGUCGCAAGCGAGGCUAAUUUCUGGUAGUACGGACCUAGUGCCGUCGCUGGAGUUGGCCAGCUGUUGGUUGUACAGAAUUCUAGGACUGGCUAAAAAUAAUUACCGGUCGGCGAUGCUACUGCUUUGGGUACUUUCAGGACCCGUCUUGAAACACGGACCAAGGAGUCUAACAUGUGCGCAAGUCAUUGGGAUUUUUUUAAAAUUAAACCUAAAGGCGUAAUGAAAGUAAAGGUCGUCCUUGCGUCGACCGAGGGAGGAUAAGUUGUGUUAAGAUACAGCUUCGCACUCCCGGGGCGUCUCAUUCUCAUUGCGAGAAGAGGCGCACCUAGAGCGUACACGUU
rnacentral:rRNA from 1 species